rnacentral:rRNA from 1 species
AUGCCUAGUAAGCGCAAGUCAUCAGCUUGCGUUGAUUACGUCCCUGCCCUUUGUACACACCGCCCGUCGCUACUACCGAUUGAAUGGCUUAGUGAGGUCUUCGAAUUGGCUUUAGGAACCCGGCAACGGGAUCUUGUUGCUGAGAAGUUGAUCAAACUUGGUCAUUUAGAGGAAGUAAAAGUCGUAACAAGGUUUCCGUAGGUGAACCUGCGGAAGGAUCAUUAAUGAAACUUCAAAGUCGGCCAAAGGUUGUUGCUGGUGAUUAUUCACAUGUGCACGCCUUUGGUCGCAAAUCCACACACACCUGUGCAUCUAUGACUCGAGGUUGUAAUGACUGAGAGUAACUUUUAUACACUCUUGUAUGUAAUGGAAUGUCUUUUUGUGCUAUAAUGUACAAUAUAAACAACUUUCAACAACGGAUCUCUUGGCUCUCGCAUCGAUGAAGAACGCAGCGAAAUGCGAUAAGUAAUGUGAAUUGCAGAAUUCAGUGAAUCAUCGAAUCUUUGAACGCACCUUGCACCCUUUGGUAUUCCGAAGGGUACGCCCGUUUGAGUGUCAUUGUAAUCUCACUUCUACAACUUUAUUGUUGUUUGAAUGUGGACUUGGAUGUUGCCGUUUUAUCAYGGCUCGUCUUAAAUGCCUGAGUGUACCCUGUUUUGCAGCGUAUCCAGUGUAAUAAACAUUUCACUAGAGUUGGUCGAAAGACCRCGUUGACUAUAUGGGCUCUAUGCUUCAAACCGUCUGCCAUGUGGACAAUUUCUUGACAAUUUGACCUCAAAUCGGGUGGGACUACCCGCUGAACUUAAGCAUAUCAAUAAGCGGAGGAAAAGAAACUAACAAGGAUUCCCCUAGUAACGGCGAGUGAAGAGGGAAAAGCUCAAAUUUUAAAUCUGGUGUCUUUGACUCCCGAGUUGUAAUCUAGAGAAGUGUUUUCCGUGUCGGACCGUGUACAAGUUCCCUGGAACGGGGCGUCAUAGAGGGUGAGAAUCCCGUAUAUGCCACGGACUACCGAUGCUCUGUGAUACACUCUCAACGAGUCGAGUUGUUUGGGAAUGCAGCUCAAAAUGGGUGGUAAAUUCCAUCUAAAGCUAAAUAUUGGCGAGAGACCGAUAGCGAACAAGUACCGUGAGGGAAAGAUGAAAAGCACUUUGGAAAGAGAGUGAAACAGUACGUGAAAUUGUUGAAAGGGAAGCGUUUGAAGUCAGUCGCAUCUGUUGGGGUUCAGCCUGGCUUUUGCCUGGUGUAUUUCCUUUCCGAUGGGUCAGCAUCAGUUUCGACCGAGGGAAAAAGACAUUUGGAAUGUGGCUGUCUUCGGGCAGUGUUAUAGCCUUGUGUUGUAUGUCUCGGUUGGGACUGAGGAUUGCAGCGCGCCAUAAAUGGCCGGGGGUCGCUCCUCUCGACACGCGCUUAGGAUGCUGGCAUAAUGGCUUUAAGCGACCCGUCUUGAAACACGGACCAAGGAGUCUAACAUGUGCGCGAGUGUUUGGGUGUAAAACCCGAGCGCGUAAUGAAAGUGAAAGG